GCCUGGCUAUUGGGUAGCGUGUCAGAAUGCAGAGCAAAGCUCUCUUCUACUUCACUGAGAAAGAUCGCUGCCGUGGAGGCUUUCCAAUCCUCUGGGAGUUUCUCAGCCAGCACAGCUCGAGGCCUUCCUGGUCCCCAGACAGCCCUUCAAUGCCUCCCUGUCUUCUGUCUUUUGUCUUUCGCUCACAAAAGCCAAAGAGGGGAAGCAUCCAUUGUCUCUGCCUGCACGUCUGUGCAAGUGUACUUGUACUGGCUUGCUCAUUUUCAUCAACGGACUAAGAGGACAUGUAUAGAUGAGGGCUGUCCUGAUCAGAAGACAUGCCCACAGUCUCUGUCCUAUAAAGUGACUAUCCUGUCAAGGAAUUCUCCAUUUGUGGUGUCUUUUUCUGUUUUUCAAGGAACAGAAGAAGCAUGUUCUUGGAGGGACACUAAGAGAUGGCGCCACCCACUAAAGCAACUGUGGCCCUCAAAUCGGCCUGCAUUUACUACCUCUCUUCAGCAGGGAGAAUGAGAACAGAUUUUUAAGGUUUAACAAGUCCAUUUCACUGCUGCAGAAAAGCACAAUGCUGGUUGUUUGUUUGUUUGUCUUCCUUUCUUGAGAGAAAGUGUUUCCUCUUCUUUAAACAAACAUGCAUGCGUGGGGUCUGGUUCUGACUUGAAAUUUUAGUACAAUGAUCAAUAGACUGACUCCUAUAUAGGAAAAGAAGAAAAAAAAAAGAUAA
rnacentral:lncRNA from 1 species